UGAUCAAAUCAAGUCCAAUGC
rnacentral:piRNA from 1 species